GACAGAGGAGGCGAGCGUUAUCCGGAGUCAUUGGGCGUAAAGCGUCCGUAGGUGGUUUGGCAAGUCUGGGGUUAAAGCCCGGAGCCUAACUCCGGAUCGGCCCUGGAAACUGCCAGACUAGAGUAAGGUAGGGGUUGCGGGAAUUCCCGGUGUAGCGGUGAAAUGCGUAGAUAUCGGGAAGAACACCAGUGGCGAAAGCGCGCAACUGGGCCAUUACUGACACUGAGGGACGAAAGCUAGGGGAGCGAAUGGG
rnacentral:rRNA from 1 species